rnacentral:rRNA from 1 species
GAUGAACGCUGGCGGCGUGCCUAAUACAUGCAAGUCGAGCGAACGGACGAGAAGCUUGCUUCUCUGAUGUUAGCGGCGGACGGGUGAGUAACACGUGGAUAACCUACCUAUAAGACUGGGAUAACUUCGGGAAACCGGAGCUAAUACCGGAUGAUAUUUUGAACCGCAUGGUUCAAAAGUGAAAGACGGUCUUGCUGUCACUUAUAGGUGGAUCCGCGCUGCAUUAGCUAGUUGGUAAGGUAACGGCUUACCAAGGCAACGAUGCAUAGCCGACCUGAGAGGGUGAUCGGCCACACUGGAACUGAGACACGGUCCAGACUCCUACGGGAGGCAGCAGUAGGGUAUCUUCCGCAAUGGGCGAAAGCCUGACGGAGCAACGCCGCGUGAGUGAUGAAGGUCUUCGGAUCGUAAAACUCUGUUAUUAGGGAAGAACAGAUGUGUAAGUAACUGUGCACAUCUUGACGGUACCUAAUCAGAAAGCCACGGCUAACUACGUG